ncrna:unclassified sequences type-P1 twister ribozyme
GCCUUAAUGCAACUCCCUGUUGGGAACGGUCACAAGUCCGUGUAAAUGCAGAGUGAGGA